UACGGAAGGGGCAAGCGUUGUUCGGAAUCAUUGGGCGUAAAGCGCGUGUAGGCGGUCCGGUAAGUCCGCUGUGAAAGUCGAGGGCUCAAACCCUCGAAUGCCGGUGGAUACUGUCGGGCUUGAGUACGGGAGAGGCGAGUGGAAUUCCUGGUGUAGCGGUGAAAUGCGCAGAUAUCAGGAGGAACACCGAUUGCGAAGGCAGCUCGCUGGAACGUUACUGACGCUGAGACGCGAAAGCGUGGGGAGCAAACAGG
rnacentral:rRNA from 1 species